CACACACACACACACACCACCUCCUCUGCAUCUUUUACUGCAGUUGAAAGCCCGAGCAGACAGAUAAGCAGGCAGCCGGAGACAGACUAAUCCUCCCACAGUGAGAAAUGUUUCAGAUAGUAGCCUAUAUGAUGAAAAUCGAGCUGAAUUGAUGGAGAAAAAGAGGGAGAAGAUGAAGAAAAAAGAGGAGGAGGAGGAGAGCGGGAGGGAGGGAGGGAGGUGAGAUGGGGAGAGGAUGAGCAGCAUAGGGCAAAGUGAGGCGAGGAUACAGAUUAGAAAAAUGGUGAAGACAAAAAAAGGGAUUUUUACAGGAGAGAAGGAAAGUCCAGAAGUAGUUGUAGAUUUGAAGAAGUUUUUUUUUUAAAUUCUCUCUCUCUUUGGUUCUCUUGCCACUUUAUUCCAAUUGUUUGUUUGUUUGUUUUUCCUCAAAAUUUUGCUAUUUUGCAGCCAAAUCGCUCCGCCCCUUUGCUUGCUUAGCCAUCUCUCAAUCAUUCUCUUCCAUGCCUUCUCUCUCUCUCUCUCUCUCUCUCUCUCUCUCUCUCUCUGUCUCUCUCUCUCUCUCCCUCUCAGCCUGACGGAGUCUGAUGUAGGUCAGAGCGUCUGGAGCCUGUCUGGAGCUGCAGAGAGCCUCACAGCUCCAUUGCCUGGUCCUCGACGACCCCAACGACGGCUGCCUGCACGCCCCAGCCAAGGACAGCACUUCCUGGGCUAUGUGAGGACAGGAUCAGCGCGCCUGACCUGACUUGCCUGAAGGAGGAUGUGCCUGCAACAGAAGAGGUGGAGGGGGAGGCAGAAAAGGGAGGAGGAGGAGGAGGAGGAGGAGGAGGAGGGUGGGGUUGGGGUGACACAGGGUAUCUGUGCAUUUUCCAAGCUUAGUCAGUUGUAUGUUGUUUCCUGUUGGUUGUUGAUAUAUGUCUAUGCAGGAUGGAGGAGGCGGCGGGACAGGUAGAAGGAGAUGGAGGGGGGAGUCCUGGAUGAUGUGCAGCGGAUGCCUAAUGACUCAUUCCCAGACAAAAAUCCUCCCAAACACUCCUGCAAAAAAAAAAAAAAAAGACACUACAGCGGCACCGCAAGCAAAAUCCAAAUCCAACACAGCAAUUCACCCAAAAACACAAAUCCCAUAAAAGUACAGUAUGCAUUUUGUCUUCUUUUGCAGUAUCCACUCCCGCGAUGCUGCGUAUGAAUCCAGUUCCAAUAAUGGGUCCAUCCUUCUUCAAAAGCGCUGAAAACCGCAAACUGUCCACCAACUGUCACGACCUGAUCAUCUUUCGGUGAUGGAAGCCAACUAGCGCGAGGACGACGACUUUUGCAAAGAAAUCUCCAAAAAAGAGCUUCUUUGGCGACUUCUGCAUCUUCUGGUUCUCCUUGUAUUUCCUCAUCACCCCCUGCUUCUUCACUCUUCUCUUUUUGUGCUCCUUCCCACUUCUCAGGCUUUUAGACAAUGCCCCAAAAAGCAGAUCCUUGUGUCUGAGUGUAGCAGAGUGCAGCUGCAAGAGUGCCUGAGUGUGUGUUGAGAGCGAGUUUUAGGAUAUGUGUGUGUGUGAAUGAGUGCGAGUGUGUGUCUGAGCUCUUGAUUUGACUCUGCAGCUCGUCCGGGUCCAGGCAGGGGUACGAUGGAUCUUCAGCUCGCACUGUGUCGCCGUGAGUUUGUGUGUGCGUCGUUCUUUUUCGUGCGUUUGGGUGAGUUUCGCUUACGUUGUCGUGACACAGCAAACCAUCUGACUUGCUUCGUCACUAUAUGAGGAGAGGGGUGUUGGGGAUUCCUGGGGCGUGGUGUUACCGGCCUGACCACAUCUCGUGCAUCCUCGCUGCGUUUUCCCUUCUGUUCACCACUGAAAUCUAAUGGACUAAGGCUGCCAUGCACAGAGGAACUCUUUUUUUUUUUGGCAGCUCCUUUUUUUUUUUUUAACUGUACUCCUCCUCUCCUCUUUUAUGCAUUGUCAUUUACUGCGUUCCAUUGCUGAGAUCAGCUUCUCUUUCACAUCAGGAGAUCUUUGCACUCUGCAAAUAAUACAGCAGGUCAGGA
ensembl:lncRNA